rnacentral:tRNA from 1 species
AGUCUUAUAUUCAAUUAAAAUGAUAAUAGAAUGCAAUUCUAUAGGAGUAAAUUAAAUUUUGCUAAGACUU